GACGAACGCUGGCGGCGUGCUUAACACAUGCAAGUCGAACGGAAAGGCCCUGCUUUUGUUGGUUUCUCGAUUGGCGAACGGGUGAGUAACACGUGAGUAUCCUGCCCUUGACUUUGUGAUAUCUUCUCGAAACUGCGGCUAUUACCGGAUAUGAUCUCCUGCUCCAUGUUGUUCGUUGGUAAGUUUCGGCGGUUGGGGCUGGUCUCGCGGCUUAUCAGCUUGUUUAUGGAGUAGUGGCUUACCAAGGCUUUGACGGGUAGCCGGCCUGAGAGGGUGACCGGCCACAUUGGGACUGAGAUACGGACCAGACUCCUACGGGAGGCAGAAGUGGAGAAUAUUGCAGAAUGGGCGGAAGCCUGAUGCAGAAACGCCGCGUGCGGGAUGAUGGGCUUCGGGUUGUAAACAGAUGUCGAAUGUGACGAAGAGGGAGUGACGGUAAUGGGUAAAGAAGCACCGGCUAACUACGUG
rnacentral:rRNA from 1 species